GAUCACCCCGAUCAGGGGCGUAGCUGAGUUGAAAUAAAGUGCAAGCAUAUAUCGCCGAGCGGAGCGAGGCGAAAAUUUUUUGAGCCGAGCAAAGCGAGGCGAAAUUAUUUUUUGGACUAUUUUAUGAUGAAAAUGAUAAAUACCCUAUCUGUUUCUUACUAUACCAUAUUUCAAGAAACGAUAGUAACAUCCUAGUGGGUUUCGUAAUUUGGAAACCCGGGAACAGAUAAGACACAAAAUGACAAGCAAAAACUUUCAAAAUUGAAAACUAACUACAGAUGAAAAACACGGAC
rnacentral:lncRNA from 1 species